AAAGAAGUAGCCCCUGUGCAAAGACCUGAAUAUCCAUGUAUCUAAUUUAAAUAUAUUUACCUCCAGCUUUGUCGUCUCUGCUCCAAUGUAAUUGGGCUGCUGCUGCUGCUUCUUCUUUUACCGAACACACACACACAACUAUCCCCAGCUGUUUCCUGCUACGACUUGUGCCAACUGCUCAGCUGCUCUUGGAAAAGGAAGGAGAUGUAGGCUAUUGCCAGGCUGGUCAACUGGGAACUUGUGAGGGAAACUUUAGAUCUUACCCAGAAAGCAGAUGGGAGGAAGCACUUCCUCUUCGUACACUUCCUGUGUAUUGUGUAAAGUGGGAACUUGCGCAUCUACCCUGUGAUGAUGCAUGAUUUCUGGAUGCAGUUGCAAAGCACAGAGGAAACUGGGAGGAAGCUGAGCUUGCACUAUUGCUGAACAAUUCAUGGUCAGAUACAUCGUCCAAAAUUCAACAAAAGCGACUUUACAAAAAA